rnacentral:lncRNA from 1 species
ACCAGCAAGAGCAAGAAGUAUUGGCAGCAGCAGGCAGCCAGGCAGGCUGGGAGUUUGCAUGGAAAUCAUGAAGUCUUUCUUGUCUUCCUCUUUUGAAAUAUUUUGGAAGGCGAGUUAAGAAUAGCUCAGAAACUGGUCUCAUUCUUUUUGUGGGAAGAAUGACCAGAAGCAUAAAAGCUAAGUCUUCCAGCAAGUGCAAGACACCUCUUUUGGUGUUUGCAGUAAACCUAACAAGAAUGAAUUGCUAUCAGUAAAGUCCUGUACCAUGACACCUAAAAGGAAGGAAAUGGUAAAGCAAAGUAAUAACUCAAAGACAGUCACCGAGGGCUUUUGUCCACCUUUAACUCAUUGUGGAACUUGACAUCAUCAGACAGUAAAUCAAGAGGUACUGACAACUGAGACUGAGUGAUGGUCCCUGCCUAGGAUUUGGAAUCUUUGCAUGAAAUAGGGACUCUAGCCACCAGCGACAAAGAAGUCAGGGAGACUGCGGUCUCUAGGAAGCACUUCCAGGAAACAGGAAUUCAGGCAAAGUUGGACAUUCCAAAGAUGGCGUAGAUGAACAUGACCAGGAAGAGCAGGAGGCCGAUGUUAAACAACGCAGGAAGGGACAUCAUCAAAGCAAAGAGCAGCGUGCGGAUCCCCUUUGCUCCUUUGACUAGACGUAGGAUUCGGCCAAUCCUGGCAAGACGGAUCACUCGGAACAGGGUAGCAGAGAUCUCUGGAGGUGAAACAUUGCUCUGAACUGGCAUUGAUUCUAGCCCAGCUCUUGUAGACCAAUUACCAACUUGUAAGUAAACAUGUUCAUGAUUCUUCAUUCUGACAAGCCCAU